rnacentral:rRNA from 1 species
GACGAACGCUGGCGGCGUGCCUAAUACAUGCAAGUCGAGCGAAUCUUUUGGGAGCUUGCUCCCGAAAGAUUAGCGGCGGACGGGUGAGUAACACGUGAGCAACCUGCCUAUAAGACUGGGAUAACUUCGGGAAACCGGAGCUAAUACCGGAUACGUUCUUUUCUCGCAUGAGAGAAGAUGGAAAGACGGUCUCGGCUGUCACUUAUAGAUGGGCCCGCGGCGCAUUAGCUAGUUGGUGGGGUAAUGGCUCACCAAGGCGACGAUGCGUAGCCGACCUGAGAGGGUGAUCGGCCACACUGGGACUGAGACACGGCCCAGACUCCUACGGGAGGCAGCAGUAGGGAAUCUUCCGCAAUGGACGAAAGUCUGACGGAGCAACGCCGCGUGAACGAGGAAGGCCUUCGGGUCGUAAAGUUCUGUUGUUAGGGAAGAACAAGUACCAGAGUAACUGCUGGUACCUUGACGGUACCUAACCAGAAAGCCACGGCUAACUACGUGCCAGCCGCCGCCGUAAAAC